rnacentral:rRNA from 1 species
CCUACGGGUGGCAGCAGUGGGGGAUAUUGCACAAUGGGGGGAACCCUGAUGCAGCGACGCCGCGUGAGGGAAGACGGCCUUCGGUUUGUUAACCUCUUUCUCAGGGGACGAAGGAGAUGACGGUACCCCGUGAGGAAGCCACGGCAAACUACGUGCCAGCAGCCGCGGUAAUACGUAGGUGGCGAGCGUUGCCCGGAAUUACUGGGUGAAAAGGGAGCGUAGGCGGGAUAUUAAGUUGAAUGUAUAAACUACCGGCUUAACCGAUGGAAGAGUUCAAAACUGAUAUUCUUGAGUGAAGUAGAGGCAGGCGGAAUUCCUAGUGUAGCGGUGAAAUGCAUAGAUAUUAGGAGGAACACCAGUGGCGAAGGCGGCAUGCUGGGCUUUAACUGACGCUGAGGCACGAAAGCGUGGGUAGCGAACAGGAUUAGAUACCCGGGUAGUC